rnacentral:rRNA from 1 species
CUGUGUAGCGGUGAAAUGCGUAGAUAUAGGAAGGAACACCAGUGGCGAAGGCGGCUACCUGGACCAACACUGACGCUGAGGUGCGAAAGCGUGGGGAGCAAACAGGAUUAGAUACCCUGGUAGUCCACGCUGUAAACGAUGUCGACUAGCCGUUGGAAAUCUUGAAUUUUUAGUGGCGCAGUUAACGCACUAAGUCGACCGCCUGGGGAGUACGGCCGCAAGGUUAAAACUCAAAUGAAUUGACGGGGGCCCGCACAAGCGGUGGAGCAUGUGGUUUAAUUCGACGCAACGCGAAGAACCUUACCUGGCCUUGACAUCAGCAGAACUUUCCAGAGAUGGAUUGGUGCCUUCGGGAACUGCUAGACAGGUGCUGCAUGGCCGUCGUCAGCUCGUGUCGUGAGAUGUUGGGUUAAGUCCCGUAACGAGCGCAACCCUUAUCCCUAGUUGCCAGCACUUAAGGUGGGAACUCUAGGGAGACUGCCGGUGACAAACCGGAGGAAGGUGGGGAUGACGUCAGGUCAUCAUGGCCCUUACGGCCAGGGCUACACACGUGCUACAAUGGCGCGCACAGAGGGCUGCAAACCCGCGAGGGGGAGCCAAUCUCACAAAACGCGUCGUAGUCCGGAUCGCAGUCUGCAACUCGACUGCGUGAAGUCGGAAUCGCUAGUAAUCGCAAAUCAGAAUGUUGCGGUGAAUACGUUCCCGGGCCUUGUACACACCGCCCGUCACACCAUGGGAGUGGAUUGCACCAGAAGUGGUUAGUCUAACCUUCGGGAGGACGAUCACCACGGUGUGGUUCAUGACUGGGGUGAAGUCGUAACAAGGUAACCGUA